UACGAGGGGGGCGAGCGUUGUUCGGAAUUAUUGGGCGUAAAGGGCGCGUAGGCGGGUCUUUAAGUCAGGGGUGAAAUCCUGGAGCUCAACUCCAGAACUGCCUUUGAUACUGAGGAUCUUGAGUUCGGGAGAGGUGAGUGGAACUGCGAGUGUAGAGGUGAAAUUCGUAGAUAUUCGCAAGAACACCAGUGGCGAAGGCGGCUCACUGGCCCGAUACUGACGCUGAGGCACGAAAGCGUGGGGAGCAAACAGG
rnacentral:rRNA from 1 species